rnacentral:rRNA from 1 species
AUUGAACGCUGGCGGCAGGCCUAACACAUGCAAGUCGAACGAGUGGCGGACGGGUGAGUAAUGUCUGGGAAACUGCCCGAUGGAGGGGGAUAACUACUGGAAACGGUAGCUAAUACCGCAUACCAUCGGAUGUGCCCAGAUGGGAUUAGCUAGUAGGUGGGGUAACGGCUCACCUAGGCGACGAUCCCUAGCUGGUCUGAGAGGAUGACCAGCCACACUGGAAAUGAGACACGUUCCAGACUCCUACGGGAGGCAGCAGUGGGGAAUAUUGCACAAGGGGCGCAAGCCUGAUGAAGACAUGCCGCGUGUAUGAAGAAGGCCUUCGGGUUGUAAAGUACUUUCAGCGAGGAGGCGUUACUCGCAGAAGAAGCACCGGCUAACUCCGUGCCAGCAGCCGCGGUAAUAC